UACGGAGGGAGCAAGCGUUACUCGGAAUUAUUGGGCGUAAAGAGCGCGCAGGCGGUCGGAUAAGUCGAAUGUGAAAGCCCCCGGCUCAACUGGGGAGGGUCAUUCGAUACUGUUCGACUCGAAGGCAGGAGAGGGAAGCGGAAUUCCCGGUGUAGUGGUGAAAUGCGUAGAUAUCGGGAGGAACACCAGUGGCGAAGGCGGCUUUCUGGCCUGUUCUUGACGCUGAGGCGCGAAAGCCAGGGGAGCAAACGGG
rnacentral:rRNA from 1 species